rnacentral:Y_RNA from 1 species
GGCUGGUCCAAAGGUAGUGAGUUAUCUCAAUUGAUGUUCACCGUCAGUUUCCUUGUUCUAUUCUUUCCCCAAUUCUCACCACUGCACUUGACUAGUCUAAA